rnacentral:rRNA from 1 species
GUCAACCGCCAUGCUACCCUGUACAAGCCUCAUCCCAUCUGAUCUCAGAAGCUAAGCAGGGUCGGGCCUGUUUAGUACUUGGAUGGGAGACCACCUAGGAAGACCAGGUGCUGAAA